rnacentral:rRNA from 1 species
UCGAGAAUUUUUCUCAAUGGGGGAAACCCUGAAGGAGCGACGCCGCGUGGAGGAUGAAGGCUUUCGGGUUGUAAACUCCUGUCAUUUGGGAACAAUGGUUACGCGUUAACUGCGCGUGAUUUGAUAGUACCAGAAGAGGAAGAGACGGCUAACUCUGUGCCAGCAGCCGCGGUAAUACAGAGGUCUCAAGCGUUGUUCGGAUUCAUUGGGCGUAAAGGGUGCGUAGGUGGCGCGCUAAGUCAGGUGUGAAAUUUCGGAGCUUAACUCCGAAACUGCAUUUGAUACUGGCGUGCUUGAGGACUGGAGAGGAGACUGGAAUUCACGGUGUAGCAGUGAAAUGCGUAGAGAUCGUGAGGAAGACCAGUGGCGAAGGCGGGUCUCUGGACAGUUCCUGACACUGAGGCACGAAGGCCAGGGGAGCAAACG